AUUGAACGCUGGCGGCAGGCCUAACACAUGCAAGUCGGACGGUAGCACAGAGGAGCUUGCUCCUCGGGUGACGAGUGGCGGACGGGUGAGUAAUGUCUGGGGAUCUGCCCGAUAGAGGGGGAUAACCACUGGAAACGGUGGCUAAUACCGCAUAACGUCGCAAGAACAAAGAGGGGGACCUUCGGGCCUCGCACUAUCGGAUGAACCCAGAUGGGAUUAGCUAGUAGGCGGGGUAACGGCCCACCUAGGCGACGAUCCCUAGCUGGUCUGAGAGGAUGACCAGCCACACUGGAACUGAGACACGGUCCAGACUCCUACGGGAGGCAGCAGUGGGGAAUAUUGCACAAUGGGCGCAAGCCUGAUGCAGCCAUGCCGCGUGUAUGAAGAAGGCCUUCGGGUUGUAAAGUACUUUCAGCGGGGAGGAAGGCGAUGUGGUUAAUAACCGCGUCGAUUGACGUUACCCGCAGAAGAAGCACCGGCUAACUCCGUGCCAGCAGCCGCGGUAA
rnacentral:rRNA from 1 species